UCCUGAUUAGCUCAAUUAGUAGAGCGCUCCACUGGAAAUGGAGAGGUCCCUGGCUCAACAGCCGGACCAGGCG
rnacentral:tRNA from 1 species